rnacentral:rRNA from 1 species
AUUGAACGCUGGCGGCAUGCCUUACACAUGCAAGUCGAACGGCAGCACGGGAGCAAUCCUGGUGGCGAGUGGCGAACGGGUGAGUAAAGUAUCGGAACGUGCCCAGUCGUGGGGGAUAACGUAGCGAAAGUUACGCUAAUACCGCAUACGAUCUAUGGAUGAAAGCGGGGGAUCGCAAGACCUCGCGCGAUUGGAGCGGCCGAUAUCAGAUUAGGUAGUUGGUGGGGUAAAGGCUCACCAAGCCGACGAUCUGUAGCUGGUCUGAGAGGACGACCAGCCACACUGGGACUGAGACACGGCCCAGACUCCUACGGGAGGCAGCAGUGGGGAAUUUUGGACAAUGGGCGCAAGCCUGAUCCAGCCAUGCCGCGUGCAGGAUGAAGGCCUUCGGGUUGUAAACUGCUUUUGUACGGAACGAAAAGGUUUGACUUAAUACGUUGGACUCAUGACGGUACCGUAAGAAUAAGCACCGGCUAACUACGUGCCAGCCGCCGCGGUAAAAC